UUCUAUGACGGACCCAAUUACGUCACUAAUUGUCACUUCACGAACUUCAAGAACCUGUUCUGGAACGAUUCGUACGAAGCCGAGUGGGGAAUUCCUGCAUUCAGACCCGCUGGCGGUAUCGGCUUUCUUCGGAAAAAUGCUUUUCAAUCGCAGGCUCAAAGUCAAGUCUCUGGUGCGUCUUUUGGUUUUUGUGAUGUGGAAGAAGGUAACUGGGUAUUUGAUGGUAAUAGGAGUAACGUAGACUUUGAUGAAAUGGACGGUGAUCUACAGGCAACGUUUUAUGAUGCCGAUGGAAGUGUAACGGGGCAUGCUGGGACACAAGUGGUCAAGGACGUACCUUUUAUGACGUCACCAAAAUGUUCUCAUCGACCUGGUUGGCAGAUGUACGUUUGUCCUCAUAGAUAUGCCAAGAUGACAUUUUAUGGUGAUGGCGCUAUUACUGAUAAAAAGGGGAACUAUCCAAUUCAGUUAGUUCGUGAUGACGUCAGCCAUACUCCAUAUUCCAUUAAAGGUAACCACGGUUUAACCCAUCUUACCAUGCUGAAUAAAACCUACACAGUUCAUUUUAAUGGUAAUGCCCC